CUGGAAUUUAAAUCAAGUCUUCUUAAUCCCUGAGUUUAGCCUCUCUCCUCUUAACCAUGGGGCAGGAACGUCAAAAUCAAGCAAGCAAGAGGAUCCCAGCUGGCUCCCAAAGGCACAGCCAGCUCUGCAUCUGUUGAUGCUCUGCUACCUUUGACCCUAAAGCGCCAGGUGCUGAGGGUGCUGGAGAGGAAGGGGAGACACCACAGUAACCCCAGUUUCAGAACAUCGGGCUUCUGAUGAGGGCUGUGAGUUAAAUCAUGAGUUAAAUUUCAAGGGAGGAUACAGCAGAAAUGCCCACUUCAUGCUAAAAGCGGGACAUGGCAAAUAAAGGACUGGUGAGUCGACA